rnacentral:rRNA from 1 species
UACAGGGGGUGCAAACGUUGCUCGGAAUCAUUGGGCGUAAAGCGCACGUAGGCGGUUCGUUAUGUCGGAUGUGAAAGCCCUUGGCUUAACCGAGGAAGUGCAUCCGAAACUGGCGAGCUAGAGUACGAAAGAGGGUCGCGGAAUUCCCGGUGUAGAGGUGAAAUUCGUAGAUAUCGGGAGGAACACCGGUGGCGAAGGCGGCGAUCUGGGUCGAUACUGACGCUGAGGUGCGAAAGCGUGGGGAGCAAGCAGG